UACGGGAGGCAGCAGUGGGGAAUAUUGGACAAUGGGCGCAAGCCUGAUCCAGCAAUGCCGCGUGUGUGAAGAAGGCCUUAGGGUUGUAAAGCACUUUCAAUAGGGAGGAAAAGUUAUGCGUUAAUAGCGUAUAGCCGUG
rnacentral:rRNA from 1 species